rnacentral:ncRNA from 1 species
AUUUGGUUGAAGUAAACUUCGCGAAAGUGAAGGACGCUAAAAAAUCAUGGGUCUAAGGCUAAUUUUUAAGAUUUUUUGAAAUUACGCUAGGAUCGCCAGAUUACAAGU